GGCGAGAUGGCCGAGUGGUUAAGGCGACAGACUCGAAUGUUUUCUGCAAAGGAAUGUGUUUCUUGAUAUCUGUUCUCUUCGGAGGCGUCGGUUCAAGUCCGGCUCUCGUCG